AGUUUCAGUUAUUAAAAACUCAAAUGCUUGUUUAAUUUACCAUAUUUAUAGUGAAUUCCUUGAAGUAAAAUAUCAAAGCAGAAGUUUUUGCUUUAGUUGGCUACAAGUAUACAUACAGAUGUAACUCAUUUCUGUGCAUGUGUAAUUUUUGAAAAAACAAAUCAACACAUUUUACUAAGAGACUUUGCAUCUUGUUGUCAGGACAUCAUGUGACCCAGAGGAAGGCCAAAUGAAUGGUUGUGGAGAGACAAAUACUGCUCAAUAAAUGGGAGAAGAAUGAGAGACUGCAACAAAUCCCAGUGCAUCUAAUCAAAGCAAAGAGAGAGAUGUCUGGAGAUAGCCUAACCAAUUGCUUCUUCUCCCUGAAAAUAUUUCCGUGCUUUGGGACCCUUUGACUUUUCCAUUAUGACAACUCUACAAACAAAUCUACUUGCUACUUUCAGACCACACUGUUCCUUACAACAGUCCAGAAUACCAGGUGCCCAGGAAGAUAAGACGGCAGGGCUGCAAACAGCGGCUCAUUCAGAUUCUUGAGGUGGAAAGAAGGAACCAGUGGUUGCUGUGUCCAUUUGCUGCUGAUGGAGAU